CACGGAGUUAGCCGAUGCUUUUUCUUCGGAUACACGCAGUCCGGGACACGUCCCGGGUUCUGUUCUCCGACAAAAGAGGUUUACAACCCAUAGGGCCGUCUUCCCUCACGCGGCUUGGCUGGUUCAGGAUCUCUCCCAUUGACCAAUAUUCCUCACUGCUGCCUCCCGUAGGAGUCUGGUCCGUGUCUCAGUACCAGUGUGGGGGACCUUCCUCUCAGAACCCCUACGCAUCGUCGCCACGGUGGGCCGUUACCCCGCCGUCAAGCUAAUGCGCCGCAUGCCCAUCCUCUUCCGAUGAAUCUUUCCUCGAUCUCGGAUGCCCGAAACCGAUAUACGCGGGAUUAGCCUCCCUUUCGGAAGGUUGUCCCCCUGAAGAGGGCAGGUUGCAUACGUGUUACUCACCCGUGCGCCGGUCGCCGGCAAGGAAAGCAAGCUUCCCUCCCGAUGCCCCUCGACUUGCAUGUGUUAAGCCUGCCGCUAGCGUUCAUCCUGAGCCAGGAUCAAACUCU
rnacentral:rRNA from 1 species